rnacentral:tRNA from 1 species
UCCCAAAUAGUCUAGGCGGUUAGGAUACGUGGCCUCUCACCCGACGCGACCCGGGUUCGAGUCCCGGUUUCGAGA